GGGGAAAUCAGAUAUACGGAGCUUUUUUUUGCCCGACGACCACCGAGCCAAUCCCCGUUAUUUCGCACAAAAUGUCUCCGAGGCGACGUCAAGAUGUCGUUUUCGGCUGGAGGACGCUGUCAUACCGCGAUCGGCUGGAGGGGGGAGGGGCCGCGCUAUCACGCCCUGCGUGAAAACACCGCGCCGGGCGGCCGCCGGGGGCGCUGCGGCACCGCCCAGAGAGCCACACCAGCAACUCGCAGGAGCCAGCCCAUUCAUUUGUACACGAGCACGUUACUGCUCAAUUAUGUAUGAAAUCUAAUAGAAAACAUACAUAUUUUAAUGCUGGAUGUUAAUUAAAAACACCAUUCAUCAUUUAAACAGCUCUAUGUUUCAUGUUUAUGAGUUUUAAACUACUUAAAUUAUUAGUUGGGUAUUAAGUUAUGACCCAUAACGGUGGUAGGAUUGCCUCUUUUUUUUUUUUUAAAGGGGACACAAAAAAGCAGGUGUAUUAUAACCUGCAGUCACACAUUCUGAGGUGAACAUUUCACAUGAACUGUUUUGUUUAAUAAUGUAUAAUAAUAAGAAGAAUAUAUCUGUAAAAGCUUCCCCUGUCACAGUGGGAUUGAAGCCUAUCCCAGCUGACUUUGGGUGAGAGGAGGAGUACACCCUCACCAGCUCAUUACAGGGCACAUAGACAAACAUUCACACUUACAUUCACACACUACGGCCAAUUUAGAGUCACCUAUUAAUUGCAUGAUUUUGGACUGUGGGAGACAGCGCUGACCACUGCACCGCCACAAUAACAUGUAUAUAAUAUAUUAUGUGAUAUAUAUUUUUUGGCAUCACCAAAAUAAAGCAGAGCUUUGUGCAUGGUCGUCCUCCUUCCGGAUCAGCACAGCUACAACAGAAAUACACAUGAAAUGCCAGAAAUCGAGUGGUGGCUGUAUUGUAUCACAUUUUUGUCUCUUGUUUGACUGUUUCCCACUUCAUGGCUCAUCUUUAGACAUCUACUCUUACUUUGCUUUUUUGAUGCAGAGUUAAUAACUAAAAGUAAUCACUUUUAUACAUUCUUGCACAUUCCUACUACAGUAUCGUGUACACACACACACACACACACACACACAGUAUGAGCAGCAUUUUUAGUCCAAGCGCUCGACUUUAUUGAGUGUUGGGACUCUCUGGAUGCUUUCCUAAAAUUUGGCCAACCUGUGAUGUGCAUAUAGCCUGGUCACAGACUGAUCUCUGAUUUACUAUUCAGUCUGAUUAUUCAACUAAUCGGCAUGUAUGGUUUGACAUGAACUCAUCUUCACUUUAUACUUCACAGUGCACUCAGCACACAGCUGUUUUCUGCUUGGAGAUUUAUUUCUCUCACGCUGGAAGGAAAAAAAAAGAGUAAUAAAAUCAAAACACUCACACUUACUCAAAUAGACACACAUUGAAUCAAUUUGAUAAUACGUGUCAAUUUUUCAUUGUUUUCUGGCAAAAUCUGACACAUGCACAUGUAUAAAAAAAAAAAAAUCAUAUGUGACAUAAAAUAACUGCAUAUGUACAAACACUGAGUGCUUUGUGCAAAUGUGUACAGAUUACGAUCAUGUGUUGAUAAAUGAUACAUGGGUAAUGUGCACAAAACAUACAUAAUACAUCUCAUCCAUGAACAUAAAACUAAUACACAAAGAUUUUAAAUCAAACAACUCUGUCUAAUUUUUGUCCCAGUGUAAUAAAAAACACAUACGGGUUGAAUUUUCUAGAAAAAUUUAUAAUGAAAGGAUGUGGAGCUGUCACCAUUCAAAUGAGUAAUUAGGCAAUGCUUUUUUGCUGUGAUGUUUGUGACAAGUGCUAAUAAAUCACUAUGCCUUUGUUCCUCUCCCUUAUUUCUCUGUCACAAAGCAGAAUCACACUUCUGGAGUGCAGGACUUCUAGCGACACUUCUUUCCCUCAGCCAAAACGAAAACCCACACGACAUUCAUCAAGAGAAAGAUUAAACAAAA